ACCUGACUGGCUCAGUCAGUGGAGCAUGUGACUCUUGAUCUCAGGGUUGUGGGUUCGAGCCCCUUGCUGGGUG
rnacentral:tRNA from 1 species